UUAUUCGGACAGGACGGGAUCGAGGGUCUGGGCUUUUGGGCAGUCAGCCCCAGCCAGUUAUUCCAGCAUCCGUCAUUCCAGAGGAGCUGAUUUCACAGGCCCAAGUUGUUUUACAAGGCAAAUCCAGAAGUGUCAUUAUUCGAGAACUUCAGAGAACAAAUCUUGAUGUGAACCUUGCUGUAAAUAAUUUACUUAGCCGGGAUGAUGAAGAUGGAGAUGAUGGGGAUGAUACAGCCAGCGAAUCUUAUUUGCCUGGAGGUUGGUGGAUCACCGUCAUGUUUUUCUCAUUUCUGGAGUGCUCUUUCGACUGGGGAAUGGAAUUUAAAGCACAAUAGACUUUUCUGAAUAUUCUUUUCAAGGUGGUAGAUAUUUUUCACUGUAGAGCUGCUUGAAUUUUUUUUUUUUUUCUUUUUUGAGACAGAGCCUUGCUUUGUCACACAGGCUGGAGUGCAGUGGCAUGAUCUUGGCUCACUGGAAGCUCUGCCUCCUGUGUUCACGCCAUUCUCCUGCCUCAGCCGCCCGAGUAGCUGGGACUACAGGCGCCCGCCACCACGCCUGGCUAAUUUUUUGUAUUUUAGU
rnacentral:sRNA from 1 species